rnacentral:rRNA from 1 species
GAUGAACGCUGGCGGCGUGCCUAAUACAUGCAAGUCGAGCGAACGGACGAGAAGCUUGCUUUUCUGAUGUUAGCGGCGGACGGGUGAGUAACACGUGGAUAACCUACCUAUAAGACUGGGAUAACUUCGGGAAACCGGAGCUAAUACCGGAUAAUAUUUUGAACCGCAUGGUUCAAAAGUGAAAGACGGUCUUGCUGUCACUUAUAGAUGGAUCCGCGCUGUAUUAGCUAGUUGGUAAGGUAACGGCUUACCAAGGCAACGAUGCAUAGCCGACCUGAGAGGGUGAUCGGCCACACUGGAACUGAGACACGGUCCAGACUCCUACGGGAGGCAGCAGUAGGGAAUCUUCCGCAAUGGGCGAAAGCCUGACGGAGCAACGCCGCGUGAGUGAUGAAGGUCUUCGGAUCGUAAAACUCUGUUAUUAGGGAAGAACAUAUGUGUAAGUAACUGUGCACAUCUUGACGGUACCUAAUCAGAAAGCCACGGCUAACUACGUG